AGAAGAGAGUCCCAUAAAGCCCCGGUGCUCUCACACCGAGAGGGCGGCACACUUCCGAAGAGAGUGACUAAGACACCGUCAUCGUUACGAUGAACGGUAAUGAGGAAAAAAGCCUAUCACUCAGGAAUAACCACUGGUGACACUUUGCAUAGACGGUAUCUAACCAAUCCCCUACUGUAAGACUUCUACGUGGCUUCCACUCUUCCUGCCCAUCUCAACACCCACGGGCACACAUGCUGGCAGGCCCUUUAUCAUCCCCUGAGCAAACGUUCUCAGAGCAGAACUGCUGGAUCUAGAUACCGGGUCCCCUCCUCAGUUACUUCACUUACGAGGGACCAACGAAACAACGUGUGCCUCGGGCGUCAUCGCUGCAGGUCCCGUGGCCCGGCCUGGCACGGCUAACUCAUCGCCCCGUGAGGGGCUCGCCUGACACCGAGGCCCAGGGGCGUCACCCGACUCGCCCGAAGCCUGAAACCCGGCACCGAGCUCCGCUGCUGGACCCCGACCCCCUCCUCCCGGUAGCCUUGGUCGUGAGCAGGCGUGCGGGACGCGGGGCCAGCCGUCCUGAGGCCGGGCCCUGACCGCGGGCAGAAAGGCACACGUCAACGGCCAGACGCCAGAGCAUCGCUUCCAGGCACGCUCGGAACGUGGCCCCAGUUGUCUCAGGGCAGCGGCCCCGGCCCACCGUUUCCCUUCUUUGUCUGAUAAUAAAUAAACACACAAACAUAUACUUUUGGAAA